AUCCAGAUGAGACGCCACAGAACGUGGUGUCUCAUCAGGAUCCAAACUGUUUGCUAUUCUGAUAGUAUUCUUUGAAAAAAAUCGAAGAAAAUGCUAAUUUUAGAAAUUCAGCAGACGACAUUUUAGCAGACGACAAAUUUCCCAGCAUGCAAAGGGUUAAGUCCAGUUUUCCAAGAAUGAGGCUCAUACAUGUUUUUAUAAUUUAUGCAUAAUACUCUGAUUUUGCCUAGGCAACUUAUUUUUGUUUUUGUUUAAUCCAGGAAACAAGCAUGUUGUGAUACAUUUUCUUUGUGAUAGCAUGAUGUGAUAUUUUCAUUCAUGUUGAAAUUAUGUGAUACAUGAUGCGGUUUGUAUGAAUGAGUCCAUUUAUCUUUGUUUCUUUAUUUAUUAGAUCUAUAUUAUGUUCAUAUGUACAAAUAGGCCUUAGUAUAUACUAGGAUCAUUCACAUAGUGAAGGAAAAUCAUUGAAAUGAAAGAAAGGUCAGUCAUAAAUGUUUAUUAUUGAUAUGGAUAAUCGUUUGAUUUUAUUUUUCUAACUGAAGAGUGAUAUUUAUGCAGUAAAGAAUAUAAAUAUUAUAUGCAAACACAUUAGUUAUCAUACGUAUCUGCAUGUAAGUGUGUUGGUUUAAGGUAUUUUUUAUCAAUUUUGUUAUCUUCUUAUGAAAAGUUUGUGUAGGUUUAUAAAUAGUAAUUGAUACCCAAUCUUGGUAUGGAAACACUUACUACUGGUACAUAGAAUUUUUAUUGGUUAUAUUUUAGACAUUACUCACAUCAAAAGUCAUUAUAGAAGUUGGGGUAUUUUUUUAUAUAUAUGUAUAUCUAUUCAUUGAUAUAAGAAUUGAUAAUUAAAAUUUAAAACAAAAUAAAUUAUUCCAACAGGAAAAGUGUGUAUUUGGUAAAGACUAAAAUAUUUUUCAAGGGCUGGUAUUUACAAAUCACCUUGGUGAAAUCUUAACAUCAGUUUAAUACAAACGCUUACCGACAAGUUACCAACAGGAUACCCACUUUUAACCGCCAGUAUGUGGUUAAUUGACAGUUCAAUUGUUUAUUAUAACAAUUGGAUGCAGUUGUAUUUCGAUGAAAAUUAAAUGUCAAAUUAAUGGUUUAAACCUUAUACAGGGUUUUCUGAUACAAAAAGUGAAGCUAAUUCAUUUUCAAAUUAAUUUUUUUUUCAACAGUUUUGGGUUAAAAAACAAAUGAGACAGAGCCUUUGAAGGACAUUUAUUAAUUUUCCUGAAGGUGCAUUAAGAAUAAUUUGGCCCUGGCUCAUACAGAAAUGGCAAAAGGACCUGGUGUUCAGUUAAAAAUGUGAAGUGCAAAAAAAGUCAUAUAUGACAAUUUACAUUAUUGUUACCGGUAAUGUCUAUAUUGACAAAAGCGAACAUUACAAAAGAAGAUUAGUUUUUGUCAAGAACUGGUGCCUAAGUGAUUAAAGUGACACUUUUCAUCCCAUGGUCAUACGUUUGGACUGCUGACUAUAUAAAGUGCAUCUUAUGAAGAAACUUAUAAUUUUGUUUUGCAUGUUUAUAUAAAAAAUCGAAAAGUAGUAGGAUCUUUUUAUGUCCCCCACUAUAGUAGUGGGGGACAUAUUGUUUUUGCCCUGUCUGUUGGUCUGUCUGUUGGUCUGUCUGUUUGCGCCAACUUUAACAUUUUGCAAUAACUUUUGCUAUAUUGAAGAUAGCAACUUCAUAUUUGGCAUGCAUGUGUAUCUCAUGAAGCUGCACAUUUUGAGUGGUGAAAGGUCAAGGUCAUCCUUCAAGGUCAGAGGUCAAAUAUAUGUGGCCCAAAUCGCUUAUUUUAUUAAUACUUUUGCAAUAUUGAAGAUAGCAACUUGAUAUUUGGCAUGCAUGUGUAUCUCAUGGAGCUGCACAUUUUGAGUGGUGAAAGGUCAAGGUCAAGGUCAUCCUUCACAAGGUCAAGGUCAUCCUACAAUGUCAAACAUCAUAUAGGGGGACAUUGUGUUUCACAAACAGUCAUCUUGUUAUAAAUGAAAUUGACAAUUUACAAUAUCAUAUAGUAAUAUUACAAUAUUAUUGCAGCCAGAGUUAAAUGUUAGAAUAAAUAAAAUAAAUAUAUUAAAUGAUAUGUAUACUCAUCACUUGACAAGAGUGAAGAAUGGCAUACAGUUUAGAUAUUAUUUGGCCAAAAGUUCUACUUAUGUUUUGCUCAGAGAUAAACAUGCAAUAUUGAAGUGAUUGUUUUUACUGCAUAAUAUCAUUAUUUCACAUCAUUGUUAACUAUAUUUAUAUUGUAGAUCCAAAUACAAUUAAAGUUGUUGAAACUA